UGUGCAACAUUGGAGGAGAAGCCUUCCAACGCCACCAUUCGGACACAGAACUAUGACAGUACCCCACCUCAAUGGAUGGAUCCCAGACAUCUUAAUGUCACCCAGUGGCGGCCGCAGAACUUGCACCAACAAUGUAACAGGAAUGUGCGGCGGCCGCAGGUCGUACGCCACCAGAACAGUAACAUGUGGGGGCUGCAGGACAUGCACAGCCAGAAGAGGGAUGGGUGGCGACCGCAAGGCAUGCGCCGCCAGAACCGGUACAGCUGGCGGCCGCAGGGCGAGCGCCGCGGCAAGAGGAAAAGGUGGCAGCCACAGGACAUGCGCAUCCGUGACAGAAAGAGGUGGUGGCUGCAGGAAGUGCGCCUGCCGCAACCAGAACAGGUAGCAGUCACAGGAUGUGUGCCGCCACAACCGGAACAGGUGGAGGCUGCAGGAUGUGCGCCACCGCAACAGGAACAUGUGUCAGCCACAGGAUGUGCGCCACCGCAACAGGAACAUGCAGCAGUCACAGGAUGUGUGCCGCCGCAACAGGAACAGGUGGCAGCCGCAGGACGUGCGCCACCUGAACAGGGACGAUUGGCGGCCGCAAUACGGGCGCUACCUGAACGGAGGAAGGUGGCGCACAGAGUUGACAUUCCAAGCCCCUAAAGCCAGCUUCUGUAACCAAGGAUCA